rnacentral:lncRNA from 1 species
AUUUGCAAGCCAAGUUAAACCAGUAUCUCCUAUGAUUUCCAAACCUCAAUAGAUAUUUCAUAUAACCCUGAUGUGACAUGCUUUUAUAUCCUCUUCAAAGCUUUGACUCUUUUAUAUGAAUUGCAUGAAGAAAACCCAAAAAACCUUUGAUUGUGCCUCUUGAAUACAAAUUUCUCUAGUAGAUUUCUCAUUCAACAAUAUUGAGAAUAGCAUUCCCAUCUUUCUUUAGAUUCAUCAUCUUACACGAAGAUCCUGUUGUUUGCAUGCAUCUAAGUAAAUCAAUACCUUUAGAUUUCCUCUCCUUGUUAGCAAUAUUAUAAAUUUCCCUCACCUUCCUUUCAAUAUAGUUUAUCAUGUGAAUUAUCAAAUGAUGUAUAUUCCGCCUUACCAGUCCUUCUGCAUCUUUCUUAGCCUUCUUAUAUCUUUCAUAAUCUUAAAUAUCAUUCAUAAUUUUCUAUUUUUUAAAAUAAAUUCUUCUUGCCUUAUUGCCUACAGUACAUUAUUAUUGCA